AUAAAAGGCAAGUCAAGCUUUUUAGACAAUUCAAAACUAAAUUAAAUAACAGACAGUAUUGUUAUAAUACAAAACUAGAAUAAUGAUGAAAACUACCCGAAUAAUAAUGGCGGUUUGUUUUAUUGAACUAUUAUGUACAACUGUAUUGGGACGUGGUGUUGCUGCUAGUCUUGUUAGUGGUAAUAUAACGGCAAAUAGUGGAUUCAGUCUUAGUUCCGACCCUGAUUCUGGGGGCUUUAGCCUAUCCAGUCCCAGCAUCUUUGAUAACGGUGACGGAUAUAGCAUGUUUGAUCUUGAAAAUCAAUCCACUCGAGUGACCGAACGAAGCAUAUUAUCACUAACAAAUAUGAGCCAAAUAUUCGAUCGAUUGUUUGGUAGACCUGGUAAAUGAUUUUAUAACUUUGUGUGUUGAAAUAAACAAUAUUGUAAUUUGA